CACUUUUUGAUGGAUUCGCGGUGCAUUAGUUAGUUGGUGGGGUAAAGGCUCACCAAGACGAUGAUGCAUAGCCGAGUUGAGAGACUGACCGGCCACAUUGGGACUGAGACACGGCCCAAACUCCUACGGGAGGCUGCAGUAGGGAAUCUUCCACAAUGGGCGCAAGCCUGAUGGAGCAACGCCGCGUGUGUGAUGAAGGCUUUCGGGUCGUAAAGCACUGUUGUAUGGGAAGAACGGUAAGGGUAGGAAAUGAUCUUUACAUGACGGUACCAUACCAGAAAGGGACGGCUAAAUACGUGCCAGCAGCCGCGGUAAUACGUAUGUCCCGAGCGUUAUCCGGAUUUAUUGGGCGUAAAGCGAGCGCAGACGGUUCGAUAAGUCUGAAGUGAAAGCCCACAGCUCAACUGUGGAAGUGCUUUGGAAACUGUCGAACUUGAGUGCAGUAGAGGUAAGUGGAACUCCAUGUGUAGCGGUGGAAUGCGUAGAUAUAUGGAAGAACACCAGUGGCGAAGGCGGCUUACUGGACUGCAACUGACGUUGAGGCUCGAAAGUGUGGGUAGCAAACAGGAUUA
rnacentral:rRNA from 1 species